rnacentral:lncRNA from 1 species
AAAUUGUUUCUUGUUCAACAAGGUUACAUCACCAAUUCUUUAUGCGCUACGUAGAUACACAAACUGGAGUCUUCUAUUAUUGAUAGGUAUGGGAAAAACAAAAAAAUUCACAUCAUGUUGAAAGAAGGAAAAAAAUCAUGAAUAUGAUCUAAGAUACAAACUAUCACAAACUGAAUUGAACCCUUAAUGCAGUCUAAAAAUGAGGCCAUGGAGGAGGCAAAUUGAUGUAGAGAUCUAUGGUUACAUCAGAUUUACCCAGCUCACUUGUAGGUUCCCAUACCCACACCAACGUCUCCACUGUAUGGAUGGAAGCUGUCACUGGCCCUGGAAUAGCAAACAUAGUAGAACUCGGAAACUAUGGCAGUGAACAAAGUAAAUGCAGCUCCUGCUGCAAAAACUCCUUUCCUCAAUGAUGGGCAAUCCAGGUUUUCACCGAAAAAAUUCUUGUACUUGGUGUGGUAGGCAUUCCUUAUUGAACCCGCAAACAAGCAUAUUUCAGCAAUGAAGAAAAACACCCUGGAGAGGACAAUUGAAAAAGUUCAGAAAAAGAAAACAUGGGUUCUAUAAGAUACAUUGAAAGAAAUAGACCUAAUUUUAGCUUGCUCACAAAAACAUGGUUAUGGAUAAAGGUUAGCAGCAUCUAUGUUCAAUAAUGGAUACUUUUCAUAGUUCAGCUUUGGAUUAGCAUCACCUAC